UACGUGAGAAUCUGCCCUUAGGAGAAGAAUAACUACUGGAAACGGUAGCUAAGUCUUCAUAUGCCGAGAGGUGAAAUAGUUUCAACUGCCUAAGGAUGAGCUCACGCCUGAUUAGCUUGUUGGUGAGGUAACGGCUUACCAAGGCCACGAUCAGUAGCUGGUUUGAGAGAAUGAUCAGCCACACUGGGACUGAGACACGGCCCAGACUCCUCCGGGAGGCAGCAGUGAGGAAUUUUCCGCAAUGGGCGAAAGCCUGACGGAGCAAUACCGCGUGAGGGAUGAAGGAUUUUGGUCUGUAAA
rnacentral:rRNA from 1 species